GGCAGGGAAAUUUCAUGAGAAUUUUACAGGGCUAAAGCUACAUCCGCGUCCAGCUCAGAAAGCCCUUUAACUUCUAGCAGAACCAUGUAUGUACACGAGAACCCUACAUGCGUUGGGGGGACAGCCCGCGGCCCGACAGAUGUGAGCAGAUGUCAGUAUACUUAAUUAAAGACGAGGACUGGGCUCUUCUGGUCGACGGCAGCCUCUUCCUCAUCCUCCUC
rnacentral:lncRNA from 1 species